UACGAAGGGGGCGAGCGUUGUUCGGAUUUACUGGGCGUAAAGGGCGCGCAGGCGGCCGCAUUUGUCAGGCGUGAAAGCCCCGGGCUUAACCUGGGAACUGCGUUUGAUACGGUGUGGCUAGAGUUCGGGAGAGGAGAGUGGAAUUCCCAGUGUAGAGGUGAAAUUCGUAGAUAUUGGGAAGAACACCCGUGGCGAAGGCGGCUCUCUGGGACGGUACUGACGCUGAGACGCGAAAGCGUGGGGAGCGAACAGG
rnacentral:rRNA from 1 species